rnacentral:tRNA from 1 species
GAGGGUAGAGCUCAGUGGUGAAGCGCAUGCUUAGCGUGCACGAGGUCCUGGGUUCAAGCCCCAGUGCCUGCA